rnacentral:lncRNA from 1 species
UAUCUAAAAAAAAAAAUAUUAAUUGUAUAGAGAUUCUUGCAAAUAUAGUAAAUUACAGAUAUAUUCUACAAAAUUCAAUUUUUAAAUAUAUUCCUACCGUUAGAAUUUAUUAAAAAAAUUUAGUUAAUCAUAGGUUAAAUACGGAUUAAUGAAUGAGACGAGUUGAUCUUUUUAUCAAUCUUUAAUUAACAGUUGAAAUUUUUGUAGGGACAUAUUUCUAAUACGAAAAUGUCAUUUCACUUAUAAAAUAGACAGUAUUUUAACGAUAACAAAUCAGAGGAAUAUAUUUGAAAAUAUUAAGACUUUUGCAGGGAUAAUAUUUGAAAGUUGAAUUUCGUAGAAAUAUAUUUAUAAUUUACUCUAUUUGUAGGGAUAUGUAUAAAA